rnacentral:lncRNA from 1 species
UGAGAUGGUGUCGGGCGGUGGCGUUGUUGGUGGUUCUUUACCACAUCUAUGGUGGUGGUGGCGGUAUACGGUGGUGGUGAUAGUCGUGUUAGCCGAUUUGCGAACUUGUUAAGCUUUGGUUAUUUGUGUCGAGCAGUGUUCGAACUGCUUAUUACUGUGGUCAUAGUAUCGUUCGGUUGUGUUGGUGAAACUUCGUCAGAUAAAGUUGCUAUUUUAUAUUUGAGUGAUAUUUGGAGUCGUUUUAUAUCUGCUGCCUGUAGCAUAUUUGAUAAUGGUUUUUGUGUUGCAAAGUGGAUUUUUUUUCUGUCACUAACUACUCCGUAGUGAUAUACCAUUGUAUCACUGCUUUCGUGAUCUAAACGCUCUUAUAGUACUUUACAGAGGGAGUGCUGAUGCUGAAACUUGGCUGUGCUGAAAAUUUAUUAUCAAACUCAGACAGAUAGUUGCAGCAGCUGCUUUAUUUUUCAAGGUUGCAUCUGAGAAAAUCUGCACUCCAAUCCCUGUCUGGCCAUAGCACGUCGAUGGUAUACAAUACUGACCUUUCAUACUUUAUUCAAGAGUACUCACUCUGUUCCUAAAUUUAAGCCUCUUUAUAGAUUUCAUUCACUACGGACUACACAUGGAGCAAAAUGAGUGAAUCUUACACUCUAAAGUAUGUCCGUAUAUACAUCUAUAUGUAGUCCGCAUCGAAAUCUAAGAAAUACUUAUAUUUAGGAACGUUGGCUUCAUCAAAAGAUUAGUGACAAGAAGAUGAGGAGAUUUUUUCUUAGUUAUACGUAUAUCUGUAGUCCCCAUAACAAAUUAUGAGUCAACAUUUUAAAAAUUAUGUUACUGGUAGUGUGUGUCUAAAAGGCACACCAAAUUAAGGGGGGAAAAGCAGAGAAGACACGUGAUUCAGAUAAUUACGGUAGAUGCAUGGUGAGAAAUUGACGAGAAUAAGACCAGAGGAAGAUGAAGCAAUCCAUGAAUAUGAGGGGGUUGUUGAGGCCAUCCACCGGGUCGGGAUGAAAACGGCCUCUUCUUCCUGCCGUAUGCCCCUGCCCCUGCUUCUGCAGCGGCGCUGGGUUUCGCUGCUGCCGCUGCCGUCGUCGAAGCUUUACGGUGGCCGUUGCCAUUGCCUGGCUUGUUCUUCGUUGGAGAGCUGACCACGGACAGAGCCGGCGGAGGCAUUCUUGGCAACAAUGAAUGACGUGGAGCGGCAGAGGCCGGCCCUGGGACUGGGAGAGCUUUUCUUUUGCUGCUGUUGCUAUUGGGGUCGAGCACGAAGUCCAUGUCCGCGGACCAAGACAGUGGUAGAUCUUGAUCUCAACACUAGGAUGCCACUGUUCAAAAAUUACAUUAUAUACUACUAUAAUUUGACCAAAACAUCACCAAUAAUAUCAACUAAUAGUCCCAAAAUAACAUCAACUUAUUAAUAAUUAGUGUUAAAUACAUAGUAAAAACUAGAUUCUGAAAGUAACAUAAGACUUUUUAGAUCAGUAAAGUAGCAGUGAUCUAAGAAGUACUUUACAGAGGGAGUAUUUUGCAUUAUUGUAGUCGGCCAUGAACGGUGUACUAGUUGCCUCCAUUGGUCUUGAUCCUACACGCAGUUUGGUAGUUGGACAACCUGAUGUCUGGCUGCGUCUCGCCCGUGUACUUGAUGUAGGUGACUCGAAAUCCUGGUGGAAAGACAACGUUGCGGAUGUGGGAGUCAAAUGCUUUUGGGCGCAUGCACACCAUUUUCGGGGGAGUCGUACGGUGGAAAUGGUUGAUGAUGCGUUAGUCGUCGUCAUCAUCGUCACGGUGAUCUUCGCAAAGGUUACUGUGGCCAACGUCACAAUCAUCUCUUCCCGUGCCACGACGACGAGCACAAUGCCUUGCCUCGAUGGUGUUCUACGUGUCGUGGUCCGGACUGAAGCUCUGUGUUGUCACACCGUAUUGCCUGGAGGGUGUUCCAUGCAUUACGGUUCGACCCAAGUCGACCAUGUAUUGGCAUGAGGGGCACGAGGCUCUGAGUCGGUGUAGUUACACUCUUUGGCGUGUUGGUUCCCAGAUGGGGAAGAAUGCCGGCCCCUGGUGCUCGUAGUGGAAGAUGCGCAGCCAUUGCUGAUUGCAACUUGCUUUUCUUAAGACAACACAAUGGCAUAUGCUCACAUACACGUACAUACACUUUCUAUGAACGCACUUUGAUUGAAACUUGCCGGCGAGUUUCUUUUGCAUCAUUUAUACCGUCUUACAUUUUCCUUUACAUCAGUUAGUUAUUUUUAGCAUAUAUUAUGCAUUUCUUUUAACAAGGUUUCCACAACAAUGCAAGGGGUAUUAUCUAGUUUCAAUAAUACUCGGAUAUGCCAUGAUACUCUAACAAAGAAUGCCGAAGAAGACACAAACAAAAUGAACACAGCUAUUGUUGUAUUGCCAUGGUCUAAUUUACACGAGUGUGUUGUGGUACUAUCACAUAAAACUACAAAAGUUCCUCUGCUUUCAGCCAUAGGUAAAAGAUGGCUUGAAGUACAUGCACAUCGGUGGGUCAAUCCUCAUGAUGGACAAUAUUGCAGACGGAACACUCCAGAUACCAUCACCGCAAAUCAAACCAGAAGCAACCGCACCCGCAAACUCCUCUGACUCCUUACGGUUCACCAUCUCCCAUACAAACAAGAUGACAGUCCCGAUAAAUAUGUCAAUCGCGAAGUAUGCCCCAAUGUAAAAUGAAACGGCCAUGGCCAUCAGGAGCGGGAUGAAUUUGGAUAGACCAUUUGGGGUGACAUCCCGGAUGAGCUUGAUUGCUAUGGCUCCAAAGAAGAAGAAAGAGCAUAUUGCAAGGCAAUGUCGCGGCAACACUGAGAAUCCUUCGACACCCAUGAUUGACAUCUCACGGAAGAUGAUGGCAUAUGGAGCUUUGAACAUACCAUCAGGAUUGCCAAUAUCGAAGGAUGUCCAGUAAAGCCAAAAGGUUAGAGGAGCAAUGACACAACCAAGGGCAGUGCCAAUCAACUGUGACACAAACAUGGACCUUGGUGAUGAGAGGGUCAGGUACCCAGUCUUGAAGUCAUGCAUGAGAUCACCAGCUGUGGAUACGAUGGACAUCAUAACACCACAAGCUGCUAAGCCGGCGAUCACACCACCAUGUUGGCCAACCCAUGAGGCAAAAAUGAAAAGGCCAAUCUUUCCAUAUGUGGAUGCAAGGUUCCAAUCUGUUAGUCCAGUUCCGUAUGAGUUGCAGAAGGCAAGUAGAGGAGCAACAACAUAGGCAAAGAGGACAAGGUACCACUUGAGUUGUGGGAAUAUCAUUGGCACUAUUGCAGUUGAAAUUGCUGCAAGGCCCACAUAACCAGAUCCUGCCAACCAGGGAGGGAUACUGUCUUUUAGAAACACCUCAUUUAGAAGCUUUUCCUUGACUGAUAAUUUGGAAUUUUUAUCAUCUGCAAUUAUAAAAGGGAAACAAGAUGAGAGCCAUGAUGUAUGAUAUGAUGGCAGGUCAACUAGGUACAAUAAGAAAAUGGCAUUACCAUCAUGAACCCGAACAAGGGGAAGUCUUCCUUGCUUUGAGCGUGCAUUCAUUAUUUCCUUGAUAGUAGCAUAAAUUAUUUUGAUGAGGUUAAAAGUACCAUCACCAAGUAUCAAGGAUACCGAUAUGAAAACCUGGAAGGGUGCAUUGACAACUUAGUUUUUGCUAAAUAUAAUGUUGGCGAAGACUGAGCAUUAAGUGAAUAAAGAAUACUUUAGAAAUUUAAUGAUAUAGAUGAGCCAUUUAUUUAUUCUUGAACUCAAUUUCAUGUUUCUCAUGAAUUACGACCACUAUGCCCACUAAAAUAAAUGCAUAAAAGAGAGUUAUCAGUAUUAUUCGCAUAUUUACAAGAACUACUUGCAAAUUUACUGGGUUCAUUCAAUAUGGAGGGAAACAAGAGAUUUUGGUCAAGCCUUGUAAAUAUUGAUUCAUAAUCUAGUUCUUUUUAUUAGAUCGGUUCACAACAUGGUAAAAGCUAUGUUGGUCAACAACCAUCACAAUUGAAUUGGCAAAAGGCAUAAUCAAGAGACAACAUGGUAUUGACUAAUAAUUCAUUAUGAGAUGGACAAUUAGAAUCCUUCACCACCAUACCUUGUACCCAUAGAGUCCUUUGAAGUCAUUGCUUCCAAGGUUAGCUGGGUACCACUCCCCCGCUUUUGUCGAUAUAUAUGGCCAAAGAAAACCCCAAGAUAUGAUGGCUCCAAGAAGUGCAGAGCAAUUAACUAUAUGUGGACAUAUAAGGCCACAUCCAAUAUAGGUUGGAUUGAAGUCAAAAUAAAACCUAUAAAAAGUAGAAACUGUUCAUAUAUAAUGCAUAUGAUAUUCCAGCUUAAAGGAUAUUAAUUUCAUAUAAUAAUCCAUGCAUGUCCAAAUUAUCCCUAAUAAAUUAUAAGGAAGGCAAAUUUUGUUUCGAUUUGAAAAAUAAAAUGAUUUGUUUUUUAAUUGCAAAAUGCAUGCUUUGAAAUUUUAGCACGCUCAUAAUAGCAGUUAGCUUACAUGUUCUUAAAUGCUGCAAGGCCCAGAGAAGGGAAGUUGUCGAAGCCACAAGAAUCCCCGGCACCGCUGAAGAACCAUUUAAAGCAGUUCCAAAGGAAACUUAUGCUUAAAUACUUUCCGAGACAACUAACUUGUUUUCUGCAGGCAUGAGAAUAAAGUUAGUACCACCAAAACUCAAGAAAUGCAGUAACCCAAGAAUAUGUAGUCAACAAUCAAAUCGAUACAGAGACAUCAAAGUUCAUCCCAAGUAAACAAAUAGAUAAUCCAUGAUUUUAAGUAAGAACUGAUAAACUAGCUAUUUUAUAUCUAUCAUAAGAUUCNNNNNNNNNNNNNNNNNNNNNNNNNNNNNNNNNNNNNNNNNNNNNNNNNNNNNNNNNNNNNNNNNNNNNNNNNNNNNNNNNNNNNNNNNNNNNNNNNNNNNNNNNNNNNNNNNNNNNNNNNNNNNNNNNNNNNNNNNNNNNNNNNNNNNNNNNNNNNNNNNNNNNNNNNNNNNNNNNNNNNNNNNNNNNNNNNNNNNNNNNNNNNNNNNNNNNNNNNNNNNNNNNNNNNNNNNNNNNNNNNNNNNNNNNNNNNNNNNNNNNNNNNNNNNNNNNNNNNNNNNNNNNNNNNNNNNNNNNNNNNNNNNNNNNNNNNNNNNUAGAGAGAUAAGAUUGUAGAAUUCGUAGCCUCCAUUCAUUACAAACUAAUUGCGAGCUGAAUAGAUCAGUAAAGCUUUAUUAUUGUUGAAUUACCUAAAAUAUAUUUGUUCUCUCAUGUACAUGCUACUUAAUUGACCAAUAAACAAUCUAUAACGAGAAUUGGUCGAUAAAUGGGUAGAAGGCUAAUGUGCAACUUCAUUGGACUAUUAAGGGAUUUUGGCAACCAUCAGUGUUUAACACUUGGAAAAAGGUCAAAUGGAAGACAAUAAGCUUUAAAUAACUUAAUAGUCACUAACAGUUAGGAGACAGUAUUUAAAAUGCUUAAGUCAUGGGGACCCAUAGUAAACUUUGAUAACCUGAUAUAAGCCGUAAAAGUACCAUAGGUCGAUACAAACCACUCUUUCGAUUACUUAUUUAUAAAUUACUAAUUGUGCAAUUGCGCAGCACUUUAUCAUACAAAAUAUAUAUUCAUCCAAUCAUCGGACAAGAAGCAUCAGAGAGUCAAUAAUAACUGUCCCUCCAAAGUACAGAUAACUUAUCAGUAUGCACAAAAUUAAGGAUCAAUGAUGAUCUGUUUCUUACUCUACUAACUCAUCUCCGGUAGAAGUGUGGACGCUGUUUAUGAACAUAGCUGUGGCAGUUCCUCUGGGAUAGGUUAGCUUAUAGUUUAUCACCAUCGCCUAGCAAACACCAAACUGAACUUAGUUUACCGAAUUUGCAAAAUGUUGUCCUAGUUGCUGCACUUGAUUACAAAAAUGUAAAUGCGAUUAGAUAAAGAUGAAAGAUGCACACACAUCUAAGAUGUGGAUGAUUACCUUGCGCAGGGCAACGAGACAAAAAAUACCAAUGAAGCUAACUACAAACAUAAACCCAAUCAUCCAACUUAGCGAGGGAUUCUUCACAUCCACUGCCCUGUUACCAGGAUAAUCAGUCCCAAGAAGCUCGUAAGUUUUUUGAUCCAUUGCAAGCAUAUAUGAUCCGAGGGAAAGUAUCACAUGAUACCAGCCUUUACAUGAUACCAUGAUACUAACUUGCAAAACUCAAAUUUAAACAUGUCAAAAAAUUCUGAAAAAAAUCAUGAAUUCUCACAACACAUAUGUUGACAACCCCUAAAAAAUUCAGAUCGAAAAUCGAAAUACACAAGGAGAAACAAAAAAGACAAAUCCAUCAUAAAUAGUGUCAAAAGAAGACAAAAGCAAAAAUCACACUAUUCACAUUUGGAUUUGUCUUUUUUGUUUCUCCUUAUAUAUUUCGAAUUUUGAUCUAUCUUUUUAGGAGUUGUAGACAUAUGUGUUAUGAACAUCCAUGAUUUUUAUCAGAAUUUUUUGACAUGUUUAAAUUUGAAUUUUUUAACUUGGUAUCAUGGUAUCAUGUAAAGGCUGGUAUCAUGUGAUACUUUCCCUAUGAUCCGAAUCCUCCUGCACAAAUGGAAACAUUGAUUGAUAAUGUGAACUAUGUGAAAAGGGGGAAGCCCAUCGUCAUCAAUUUUUCUGCCACUCCCAAAAAACACCAAAAUCAGAUACGUACGCUGCAAAGUUAAACAUUUGUUCUAAGAAAUGCAAUUGUAAAAACCAACUGCUAGUGUAAAAAACGCUCUUAUAUUAUGGGACGGAGGGAGUAAUAACUUCCUUUAAUACAAAAAAAACAGUAAAACCAAACCUAAUCUUUCUCCAAUACCUAGCAAUGUUCCACCCAAAUCAAACACCGUUUAGGUCCCCACCCAAAAAUAAUAUACACACAAGCAACGGCCACACGUACUUAAUUAGCAGAAAUCAGCUUCAGAAGUCCACAUGAAGGCUGUUUUGAGUCAAGGAUCAUAUCAAAGCAAAAUGCAAACAUACCGCUGGUGGCGAGGCCGUAGCAGGCGACGACGCAGGUCUGGAUGACGGUGUUCUCCUGCUUCGUGAAGGGCUUGGAGACAACGCCGAACAUGUCCAGCGCCGCAGUCCAGGUCCGCACGAGGAAGUAGGCGAGCAGGCCCGCGGCGACGUUGAGCGAAGGAAUGAUCCCCACCGUGAGGUUGAGCUUGUGUGUGAUGAGGCAGAAGAGCACCCCCAGGAUGGCGCUCACCACCACACCCCGGACCGUCAGCUGCUCCCGCCACGGCGGCACCGCCUCCACCGCCGACGGCACGCCGGCAAGGAGGGGCCCGGUCAUCUCCGCCGCAUCCGCCUCCGAUCCCAUCUCUUGCGAACGCUAGUAUCAAAGCCAAUGCCUCCCUUCGCCUCAGACUUUGGGUGCUGGUAGACGAGGUCAAGGUGAGGAUGAAUGAAUUGGCGUGGAGGACUAGGUAUUUAAAGGGCGUAAACUGAAGCUUAAUUAGUACUCCCUCCCUUUCGAAAAACAUGUCGCGAGGGCAAUUUUUCAAAAAAACCCUCCAAUUUCUCCCGACCAAACCCGCACUCCUCGUCAUCCUCCUCCGACAGAAUCCCCAGCUGCGCUGCUCCCCGCCGCCGUCGCUUCCCCGCUCCCCCGCCGCAGCAGCCCUGCUCCCCGCCGCGGCGGCCCUCGCCGCAGCUGCCCUGCUCCCCCGCUCCCUCGCCGCAGCUGCCUCCUGCUCCGCCGCCGCAGCUGCCGCUCGCUGCCUCCCCAAGCUCCCCCCUUCCUCAUAAAAAUCUUCGAUUUCCGCCGCGCUGAUGGGCCCGACGACGAGGCGUCGCGGCUGGCGUUGUAGGCGUCGGGCGCGGCGGACCCAGGCGCUGCGGCGGGGCGGCUUCGGCCUGGAGUGCGGGCGCUACUGCAACGGCGAACCGGAGGAGAGGCUCCGGCAGUGGAGCCAGGCAUGGCUUGACGUCGCCAAGAAAAUCUCACCGCCUUCCCUUUCUUAUUUCACACGCGCCAUAACACUGGCGACGGAGCUUUGACCUCGCCUCGUCGGAGGAUAGUCCCCUCACCGUCCUUCCUCUCCUAAAAGCGCCCUAAUCCCGGGCGGAGAGUACCUCAGCCGGUGCCCGGCGCGCCUCUCCAUUUCCUUCUCUUGUUCGCUCCGUGCCGGCUGCGGGCGAGACCUCACAGCGAUGUCGUCGGCGGCGGGGACACCAUCGGACGGCGGAGGGGAUAGGCCGUGGCAGUCAUACCACACCGCCUACACCAACGCCAAAGCUGGUAAAACUGCAUUCCCCUCUUUCCUGGCUUAAGAUUGCGCCGGUAUGGUUUGAGCACUGGUAUUUAUUCUCUUAUCACGUUGCAUUAGGAAUGGAGGGAGUUGACAAAGAGAAGGUGCAGAAGGUGAUCUAUGAAAUGAGCAAGGGUUUCGAAAAUGAGCAGAAGGAGGCGAUUACCAAACUUAAAAUCGAGCAUCUGCACACACAGUGUGCAAAGUUAACUGAUAAUGACAUAUCACAUUUUCAGAAGGUUCGAGGCAGCAAUUUUCUGAACAAUUGAUCAUAAACAUCUGUACUGCCCUGUUAUUAUGCCCCAACAUCUGUGUAUUUAUGCUUGUUCCCCCCAACCUAGUUGAUGAACAAUUCAUCAUAAACCUCAACUAAAAUACAGCAUGCUGUUUGUUUCUCCAGCAUCUCCAAGUCCUACAGCCUGGGUCAUCUCUGUCACCAACACAUACAACCUGGGUAUGAACCACUUACUGAAUUUACUGAAUCUUCUCUACUUCAUCUUUACUGAAUUUACUGAAUGUGCGUAUUCUCUGAACCACUUAUUCUCUAUCUACUGAAUUUUGGAGUAUACUCUUUGCAGUUGUUUCUGAGGAUAACUGUUUAUUGCCUGAAAGAUAACACAUAACUGAUCAAACAUCUUGUAGGAGUAAUUAACUAGCUAUGUUACUCAAGGAAACCUUCCUCAGAUUAACUUGUUUAUUUGCAGUACUUCUCUCUGUCUCUAGAACAAUUAUUUAAACUGGAAAAGAGGAGGCAAGAGGGACCAUGUCUAGCUGAUGUCUGAGAGCCUAAAACUUGCUUAUGCAGUAAAUUGCCCAAGUUAGCUGUAAUACAUUCAUCUUACUGCAAACAAGAGUAUGAAUGUCUGAAAUGGUACCUUAUGGUGCUCCCUUCGUUCAGAAAAAUGGACGUCCGAAGAUGCAUGCACUCACCUUUUUGAAACUUUGAUCAUAUGGAAAACGAUAUGCUGAAUGAAAAUAUCAACAGUGGUUUUACCAGCCAUAAUUAUUCCUAGUUAUAUUUUGAAUUUGGCUUCUGUAGCAUGCUGUGAUUGAAAACUGUAGUUUAAAAUUUCAAAUUGUAGACCAUGAAAAGGAGGAACUAGGUAGCACUUGAUCCAAAGGUCCUGACGUAGGUGUUGUGUGCUGAAACAUGUUUCGAACUAGAGCAUUUUCAGUGAACUAGUCUCAGCUUGAAAUUUGGUUCAGUUAACUCCAUACAAGGGUCUCUUUUUGGUUUAGUAGUGAUUAGAAGAUCAUGUACUGAUGAUAUGAGAUUAGCAAAGGCCUUGCUUGUCACUAACCUUCAAAGUAUACUGAUUGUGACAUUAGCAUGCCUCAUUGAAAUAAAUCAAAAUAUUUUAAAUUAAUUCAAAUAACUAAAAUUAAUCCAAAUCAAUUCAAAUAAUUCAAAUAAAUCCAAAUAACCCAAACUAAUUCAAGUAAUCCAAAUUAAUCCAGUUAAUUCAAAUAACCCAGAUAAUUCAAUUAAUCCAAAUAACCCAGAUAAUUCCAAUAAAUUCCAACAAGGAGUUGAUAUACAAGGAUUAGACAAGGCGUACACAAGGGCAUGACAUAAGGGCAUCUUUGUCCCCUCUUGACACAAGAUUACACAAGACAUACACAAGGAGCACCUGACUACAUGACAUAAGGGCCUCUUUGCCCCCUCUUGACUACAUUCUUUCUCUGGCCACUUCUUCCCUUUCCUUUCCUUUACUUUUCUUUCUUUUCCCUUCUUUAGCCAAUUCUUUCCUUUCAUUUUCUUUUCCUAUUGCAAUUUCCAUUUCUUCUAUAAUGGCCCUAGUAUCAACAACUACCCGACUGUCGCAAUAUACACUGAUGAUUUCCCUGCCAGCAUUCUGAAUGCGAUCCUUGUGCAAGUGGGGCAACUUAUAUUGAUUUCCUCCUUUGUCUUUCAUAACUUCAAACAUAACUGCUUCUAAUGUGAUAAAGCUUCUGUGCAACUUGUCGGGAUCGUAGUUCUCGAAUUCCUCUUCCACACCCUGUACCAGUUCCUGGAUGUUUGUAGGUGACCUGCAGUCGGUUAGAGACUGGAGAGAGGUAAGGAAGCAGAGGUCCAAACAAUUUAACUCAGGGCUAUUUGGGGGCUGUUGUAGCAAUCGGAUGUCAAGAUCAGUUUGUUCCACAGCUUCUCGAAAAGCUACAUCAUUGGGAAGGACAUGGGGCUUUGCAUUAUCCUGUUGGAUGAAUAUUGUUGCUCCCUCGUCAUCGUCAGGCCACUUAUCCUGAAUUGUCGGGAUAACCUUAUUGAUUAGAUAAUCUCUGCACACAGGCCUAGUUACUUUCACUGAUGUCAACACUUUUGUUCCCUUUGUUCUGUUAUGACUUGUCCGCUUCGCCUCAGUCUCUUCAACGAAUGCCCAAAUGCCAAUCUUCCCGUCGAAUGUUAGCUCCCCCUCAUUGUUAUAUCGAGGCCUGGCAACAGCUGUUAGGAACAUCACCUUCCCAAUGCUGUGAGUGUUUGACACGGUGCGCUUCGGCUCAGGUUCUCCUGGAAGUACAUAGUAACUAUUCUUCACUCUCGUCAUGUCAAACCACUUCUCAUCGAUGUGAACCAUAUUCGUCAUUGGUUUAAACAUAGCCCGAGAAGUUGAGAUUGAAUUGUCAUCGACCAUGGACAUACAAAAUUUCAAUCUCGCAAGCUUGUUCUCUAGCUUGAGGUGAGGCUUCACGGUGCUUGUGAUGCGGUUGAGCUCAUUCAACUGGAACCUCUUAUGUAGGGUCGAUCGGGCCACACCUAGAGACCGUGCCAGAGAUCGAAUUGUCCUUCUUUUAUUUAGUGGGAUUGUUGAGGUCCUCUCUAGAUCCAUCUCCUUUCUCUUUCGGCCAGAUCUUCCUGGCUUCUUGCUUGAGACAUCUACUUCUUUGCCAUCGGCAAUUUGCUUUUUGGCUUCUUCCCAGAUUCUUUCAACAGAUCGUACACUUAUGUCCAACAGGUUUGAGACUAGCAGCUUGUCGCUGGUUGAACAGACCCAUCUCUGAGCUCGAUUACCAGCAAAGCGAAGUAAACACCAUGCCUCUCCUUAUCUGACAAUUCUCUUCUCUUCUCUUGAAGUAUCCAAUUCAUAACUUCAUCCUCUUCCUCUUGAGCUUCGUCCUCUUUCCCUUCAUCUUCUGGAGGCAUCCAAUUCAUAGCUUCAUCGUCUUCCUAUUGAGGCAUCAAGUUCAAAUCCAUAGUUCCAUUCUCUGCCACUUGAGGUUCCUCCUAUUCAGGGAUCCAAUUCAAAUUAAUACCUUCAUCGUCUUCCUCUUGAGGCAUCAAGUUCAAAUCAAUAGUUUCAUGUUCUUCCUUUUGAGGCAUCAAGUUCAAAUCCAUAGUAUGUUUCCUGCCAUCAAUGACAAAAGAUGAGUACACCAUGGUACCAUAACAAGAAUAUACACACACAAAAUGAGUAUGCAAGUCAAACAAGAAAUAGGUGCCAUGGCACCAUUUCUAGUUUGGUUGCCACGGUAGCCAAACAAGAAAUGCUGCCAUGGCAGCCAAACACUUUGCUCUAACCAUAAGCCAUUUUCUCUAGUUAGAGUAGUUAACAGAAUUUUACUCUAGUUAGAGUAGUUUUGCUGAAUUUUACUUGCUCAUAGUACCAUGCCUAUGGUAGAAAAGUGUCAAGAAAAAUAUACUCCUGUCAAUAGAAUCAAAACUGAUUUAUUACCUUUGCAUAUAAACUACUCCUAGUGAAUUAGCAUCAAUAAUUGUAGUUUAACUGAAUUUUACAAAAUCUGACCAAAUGUGUAGUUAGUCAGUGAGCUACAGAUCAUUUGCACUUGACAAUGUUUGUGACCAUUUGCUUUUACAAAAUCUGAACCAAUGUGGCUCUACAAAUCAUAGCAGGAAGUACUUUGGCUCUAUUGAAAAUUGUUUGAAACAGGAAAAUGGAUCAUAAUUGUUUUGAAUUUUGUUGGACUCUUGUUGACCAGAUUUACCAAGUGUUAAUGUUCAGUUUUCAAUUUACUGGAAACUUUAGACUUGCUGUUAGUGGAUCAGAACAUGCUGUUAGCAACUCUAAAUUUACUCAAGGCCUUGGUAUUAAUGCAUGUUUAACUGAAUUUACUCAAGUCCUUUGUUUAACUGAAUUUCCCUUUUGUUUACACACAGUUACAAUAGUUUAACUGAAAUUUAACCCUGCAUCAGCACAUUAAGCAAGCAACAUCAGCAGAUUAAGCAAGCGAGCAACAUCAACAGAUCAGCAAAUUAAGCAAGCAAGCAACAUCAGCAUAUCAGCAAAUUAAGCAAGCAACACAAGUACUCCAUGAUCAGCAGUAGUUUCUUUAAUAAUUUUCAGUUAACAACCAUCAUGAUUCUGUUCACAAUGAUCAGCAGCAUUUUCUGUAUAAUGAAUGUACUCCAUGAAUUUUAAGUUAACAACUGAAUUUACUCCAUGAUUGGCAUUGUCAUGAUUCAGUUAACAGUAAACCAUUUCACUAACUUUCAGGUAGCAGUAUUCUGAUGGACUACCUUCUUCAGAGUGCAGACGAGCACAACACGGCUUCACUUGGGUCAGCAACAGCAGCAUAGGCAGAGGAAGAUCAGGUUCGACGCAGAGGAACCCACGAGCAGAAGAUCAGGUGCGAUGCACAGGUUCAAUUCAACCCAGCUGUGCGCUUGGGUUCAGGUUCAGGUUCUCCCACAGUGCAGAAGAUCAGCAGCAGCACCACGACAGAGGAGCAAUAGCAGCAGCACGCAUAGCUCCACCUGUGACAGGGGAGAAGCAGCUGCGCGGGCGCGCGGGCGCGCGGGCAAGCGAGAAGGAGCAGCACGGCGACACGCGGGAGCUCGAGGAGGACUCACGGGAGAUAGAGGAGGACGAGCGUGAGCUCCUGGUCCAUCGAAUCGUGGAGGCUGGUUCCAACGACGGUCGUAGGGGAUCGUAGCUGGAAGGAUCGCGGCGGCGCACGCGUGGGAGCUCAAGAAGGAGACGCGGGAGCUCGAGGAGGAUGCACGGGAUCUCGAGGAGGACGAGCAGGAGCUCCUGGUCCACCGGAUGGUGCUGGGAAGUUCUGGCGACGCCGCAGGUAAUCGCAGCGGGAGGAGAUCGCGGCGGCACAGGAUUGGGCGACGACGGCGGUACUUGGCGACGGCGGCGGCAGCAGAUCACUUCCUGGUGGGCGACGAAUCGCGCAGCUGGGCGGCCCCGGCCCUUGGCGACACGCGCACGACGGCGGAGGAAGAAGACGAUGGCGGAGGGACUUGUUUGAGAUGGUUUUGAAACUGUGAGGUCUUUUUUGCAAAAGUACCAGUGAACUAGGCGUGCGACAUGUUUUUCGGGACGGAGGGAGUACACAAGUACGUAUGGUGGCUUUAGUAUGUUCAUCAGUUCAUGCAUGCACACUAUGACACGCGUACUCCUAUCAUGCAGACACGUAGCAGGCCAGCACGGUCAUUAUCUUGGCAGAGGACCGGGACAGGAGGAGCAGCGUGAAUCAUGCUUGUGCUAGUAACACGCGGGUAGUGCUAUCCGGCCACUCGAUCGCUAUCUAGGUAACGGUGGCCACACAUUUCUACUGCUUACGUGCUAAUUUGAUUGCCAUCCUUAAGCAAGCGUUAACUAUAUCUGAUGGGGCCGUAUCUAAUGAUGGCCACGAAGUACAGUCUCUGGAACCAUCCCUACGGCAGGAUUAUGUACGGUGGGACUGGAUGUAAUGGUAACCACAAAUCAUGCCAUGCAUUAGGAAUUAAGUAUUUUUUUUCUCUUAGGAAGGAAGGAACGUGCAUGUUGUAGUAUUUGAUUUGGCCAUGCCAUCGAUGCGAGCAAGGUAGGAGGGCUAGCUGUGCAUACGCACAGUUUGAACGUUCAGGCUGAUGCUGAUGUCACAUGUCAUCGUUUGAUGUCGAAAUAAACUAUAGAAAGUUGUGCAUCUCAUGGCAAUUCAGAAAUUUUAAUGGUUUAACUAAACAAAGAUAAAUUGGCAUGUCCAUGGAAAAUGGAGUGCCCUUUUGUUCAUUUAUAUUUAUACGUUAUGUGCACUAGAAGCUUAGGGCACGCUUCGUGGCGCCGUGAAGGCUUUUAGGGCCUCGCAACUCGCUUUUCGCUGUUUAUUUUUGUCAUUGUGGUUAUCUCGCUGGAAUAUGUUCUCAUGAUGGCCUACUAACAAUUAUAAUUAAGUUUGUUGGUGUUGGCGCAGUAUGCCAAAGUCAAUAAAUGUAUAUUUUUGCGAGGUUAAUGUGAUUAUAACAGUGAAAUUUAAUGUAAUUUAUGUUUCACAUAUGAAGGUUUCUCGUGUAUUUGAUAUUCUAUACAAUCAUUUUUAGGAAUCACCAUAGUGGUGGCUUGUUUGGCGGAGAGUCCAUGGAUUUGAAAUUUUAGACAAGUUGCAUAGAGAAAGUCUGUUGACGGAGGGAUAGAGAAGGUGAGUGAUUUGUUGGGAAGAAUUAAUACUAUCUUGAACACACGAAUAACUAGCAUUAUCGAAAGAUAUUUGUGCCCUCUAAAAAGAUAUUUGUACACUUGCCGAAAUUGUUGCUACAGGACCCUUUGUAUUAGCAACUAAUGUACACGACUAUAUCAGCCUAGCUGUCCCUUGCUCCACCGAUGAGUUCGCCCGUGUAUUUGUCAUUUGAACUGCGCCACCAUUUGCCCCGUCAAUUGGUGAACUACUUGCGUCUGUAGUAAUUUUAUUUGGGGUUCUUGUGCCUCUCCUAGCCUUUUCAGCCCAGUUGACAAGGCCUUCGGUCACAUUGUCAUCAAAUAUAGUCUUCUUGAAAGAAUUCCCCAUCUAUACCAAUGAUGAGACAAAAUUAGAAUAAAAUGAUAGAUAAGAAUAUUUGUUUGAUCAUGACAAUAAAGCCAUUAAAAUUGUAUCAAUUUGUGAAAACAAGCUUUGUAUUCAUCAAGAAUGGAUACUCAUAGGUAUAGUUCAAGUUGAAAAUCAUUAUAUCACAACAAAACUACAAUUUUAUCCACUUUAUUAAUUGAACUCACAUGGGAGACAACGGCGUAUAGUGGUAGGGUGCUGUAACCACAAAGAACUUGGCAGAUUACACUGAAAGAAGUAAAAUGUAAUGAGUAUGUUUUUAAGAUGUCUCAAUAAGUUGUUGAUGCCAUUGUGAUUUCUGUUGUACCUUAUGACAACUCGAGUAAUAACAUAUGCUGGUUUCCCCAUGAUGCAUGAUUUAAAACCAUAUGUUACCUGCAACAUUGAUAAAUGCAAGGGUUAGUCCUACUUGUAUUCAUUAGAUUCCUAUUUGAAACUAUCAAAUCCAUAACUUAUAUUCUAUGUAAUUUCACGAUUCUUAUCGUACUCUCCAAUACUUCAUGUUAAAUUAGGUUGUGGGUACAACAAGCUUACUUAUUGUUCUUACCAAGAGCCAGAAGAAAAAUGCAAUUUCAAAUGCAUUUUGAAAUAGGACGAUGUGGAUCAACAGAAGGACUAAUUUAGGCCGAUGGAACCAAAAGAAGUUAUCUGAAGGAGAAACUACUAAAUCCCCUCGAAUAGCCGUAUCCUUCUGGGCAACCUCAUAAGCCAAUUCCGUUAUUAUGUGCUCCAUCUUACUUCCUACCACAAGUAACAUCUGCCAAACACAAAUACAAUAAGUUGAUGUCACGAGUCUGCCCUUUUUUGGAUCAUGCUUAGUUUGAAAGAUCAUUGUAGAAGUCAUAUGAAGGCAUAUAAUUAGUAUUUAGUCCUUAAAACAUGCAUACAUGUAGUAGAAAUUUCUUUUAUGUGUUUUUGUAUAGAUAGUAACUCAUGUUUACUUACAAUGAAUGGAACCAAGGUAAUCCAAAUGUAGACAUACCACCCUACAAUAACGGUACGACAAGAGUCGGGUUACUUUUCACAUAAAAAAUUGUCUAGUGAGGGUUAGUCAAAAUAAAAUAAGUAAAUAAAUAAAUAUAUUUUUGUGACAAUUUAACAAAAGAAGAGUUAUACAAGUGGAUCAAAACUUGUGACCUCUAGUGAUACAUACCUUCAACAUUCAAUAGUAGGAAUAUCAUCAGCAUGGCCCAAAGGUACCAACUACAUAAGCAUAACAUGGACAUCAAUUUGCUAUUUUCUCUAUAGGUAAUUGAUCUAUACAUAGCAUAUGCUUUAGAAAAAAAUUGGGUAAUGCAUUUUGUAAUAGUAGCAUUGAGCACUUACCUAAUACCAACAACUUUCUUAAAAUCAACCUCCAAAGCUCUGAUCAUGUAACUAUAAAAGUUGAAUUUUGGUGUCCCCUUACAAUGUUUCUGUGAAAAGGAAUGAAGCAUGUAUAUAUAUAAGUUUCCUCCACUAAUAGUGUAUACCCGAAAACAUACACGUGACUUCUAUAUAUCGAUUAAAAUGUAGGUUGAUUACCAUGAUGAAACCAAGUCUCAUUGUUGUGUAGUCCUCCUCAGUGACGGAUCCAUAAAAUUGUUUGAAGAAGGAACGCUAAAAAGACGAUGACUUAUCUUAUAGCCCAAUUGCAAAAUAGAGAAAUAAGGCAAUAUAUAUGUUUUGAUCCUUAUAAAAACACAAGAAAAAGAAAGUAUACCAUCCAACCAAAUAUCCUCGACCGCUUUCUAUGACCUUUAAAGUGGUCUUGAAUAAAUUUGAAUUCUCGAAUGUGCUUGAUCAUUUGAGGGGCUGCAAGUUAGGACCCAACAUUAGUAAACAAAAAAUGUAACACAACUUCAUACAACUGAAGAAAACUUGUGAACUCAUCAUUAGCCAAACAAGGAAAGGAAACUAUUUGCAUCAUAUAUACAUACCACCGUCAUCACUUUCUUGUAUCUUGGUCUCCCAAUGUCGCCAAUUUCUCGUCUGCACAACAAUUAACAUAGUAGUUAGAAAAGCUAUGGUAGACGAAUUACUCGUUACUAACAAAAAUAUAGUCAGAGUUUUAGUUAGUACCUGUGCAAUUCCUAGAAGUACUGUAAUAGCACUGAGAAGGAAAUGGGUGACCGCCAACACGAAGAUAAAUAUGUGUAGUUGAUGAAUAGCUUCAGAUGAAAGUAAUGGAACUUUGUCCUGCAUGCCAAAUGGCGUCAAAUGAAUCAUUGGAUAAGAACAAGGUGGAACGGGUCAAAGACGAAAAACAAUAGAUCGACGAAGACAGAAGAAAAAGGAAAAGUAGAGUAUCACAAAUAAAAUCGAGAACCGACAAAAUGGUUGUGUGCAUCAUCUGCAGAGGUCAAGCCGUCAAGGGUAAUCCUCCUUUUCAAGAAAAAUAUCACAAAACAAAAUCAAGCACUUCUGAUGCCUUGAGCUGUACCUUCUUGAGGCAGUAUUCGUCGUCGGAGGAGGCUCCUCCAGCCAGGAGGCGCCUCCCCCCACCCAACACGCCGGUGAACACAGCGCCACCGAGGUGGUCCGUCUCGUGCAGCGGCGGCUUGCAGGGCUGCAGGUGGAGCAUGGUGCUCGGGCUGACGCACAGCUUCCCAAUGGGCCCCUGGAAGACGGUGAGCAGCAGCGAGAUGAACCCCAGCAGCAUCAGCUCCUCCUUCACCUUGAGCAGGGCCUCGUACAUCGGCUUCUUGCGACUCCUUAUCAGCCUCUGCAUGCAAACGUGCGUGCCCAAACGUUCAGCUGAUGGCCGAUUGCUUCGACAGAUACGGCAGGCAGCUUCGUGGUCUCUCAUGGUGGAUGUACGCACAUACCUUGCCUAGGCGGUGGAGCAAGCGCUCGAAGAGCAGGGAGAUGAUGAUCAUGACGGAGCAGACCAACGCCACGAUCCAUGUCGGCGUGAACUCGAGCGGCUUGGCCUUCCCUUCACCGCCGGCCAUGGCGCCCCAAACGUACUCGUCAAGAACCAAGCCCACGCCGACGCCCCUUGUCGUAAGAAUGAAGUGGCAAGCAAGACUAUUCUUGAUACAUUUAUAUAGCUACAAGAGACGAAACUACUCAGUUACAUGGUCAUCAGUUAUCACGCAUGACAAUAUUGACUUGGCACGAUCAGAACCCUGAAUUAUAUUCCAAGCUACAUGUACACACAGGAAAACAAGAAACAACGCGUUACCUUCCUAAAUACUACUAGUAUUCAUUCUCGAAAAAUACUACCACUAGUAUUCCGCUAGCAUAUGUCCCAUGUGACCAUUUUUUUUCUUUUUUGUGCUGCAGUCUACGGUCCACCGCACUACUUUUUUUUUGCGAUGACCACCACACUACUAUUAACCAACGGGAACUGGAAACUGGAAUAAUAGUCUGUUUUGGGGUGUUUCGUAUGAUGUCCCCAACUGCCUGAACGAAAUUUGUACUUUGAUUAGAUCUGGUCGUUGUUUGGUAAAUUUGUUGUCAAAAUUCCCUUGAUGCAAUGUGGCUUUUGGUAACUUUCAUGUAAUGCCGCUCACAACGGCGAUGAUCCACUUUUCUUUCAAAUUUGUAGUUGCCGCUAACAGUGACAAGGCCAUGGAUCUGAAAUAUUCGAAUUUGUAGUCAUUGCUCCGUUUUUUCUUUCAAAACACAAUGGUUAAAAAGAAUUCUAGACCUAGCUGGCCCAGGUGGUACCGGUCAAAAGCACAUCUAUUAUUUUAGCCUAAUCUGUAAGUAGAGAAACCACUGAUAUGUAUAUUUUUUAUUUUCUGAGAAAACACUAUUGCAAUAUCAUUCUUGGUUAAAAUAUACUAGUAUAUUUGCAUUCCCGGACAAAGCAGAAAACCGUGGUUUCAGAUUGGAUCUGCGACGCGGCGUCAGCGAAAUCAAAGUCGCGGCCGUCAACGUCGGAUGGUGGAAGUCCAAAGCGUUUGGUUUGCGUCCAGUUCAACAGUCCAGGUGCAGGUCCUGGCCUAGUGCGGUGACCCAGCUCCACCAAGUGGGCUUCCUGACAGCAGCAUGCAUUUCGAAAUACACUAGGGCGUGUUUGGUAGCUUUCCCGAGCGGCUUAGCUCAGCCUGUCUUAACGGAGGCUGGUUGAGAAAAAACGAGAAAACAUUAACACAUGCACUUCAUUUGGUUGCCUACAAUGAGGCUGCUUGCAUUAGAGGAUUGCUUUAGGCAUAUUAUUUGGUUGUCUGCAUUGGCUCGGCGAAUGCAACUACAUCAUGUUUGGUUGCCUGCACCGGAGAUGAAUAAGAUUAAUAGCUACCCAUAACACACUGCAGAGGCCGGGGGUGAUUCCUCCUUUUCUAAAAAAAAAACCAUAACACACACAGGGCCAUGGCGACUGGCGAACGAUGGCAAGGACGCAAUGCUGUCCAAGUCAGUUUUCUGUUUGUUUGUUUCUAGUCUAGUACUCCAUUCGUUCCUAAAUAUAAGCCUUUUUAGAGAUUUUAAUGCAGACUACAUGCAUACAAAACAAAAUGAGUGAAUCUACAUUUUAAACUAGGGUUAUAUACAUCCAUAUAUUGUCGGUAUUGAAAUCUUUAAAAGAUCUUAUAUUUAGGAACAGAGGGAGUAGCUUAAUAGCCUCGGCCACGGUUGUUGAUGGUAUGCUGCUAAUGUGUGAACAAAGACCAGAAGAUACGUCCUGGUUUCACACGGUGAAUCAAGUAGCAACUCAUUCUUCGCCCUAGAAGGAAAUAAGAUUUAUCGUUGGCGCGUCAAGCUAACCUCUACAGGCGAGGCAAUAAGGUUUUUUGGAAGCGCAAUUUUAUGACUGCUUGCUGUACAUCCAAUAUUCUUCACUGCGAUAAGCAUGGGUGGAGCUUCACCAAACCGGCACUGUGACUUUUCGAUGACACCAAUAAACCCUUGGCGAGUUCUAGGAGAGAACACAUAGCAUGAUCCGCCUGCUCUUAGAGCUAAAUAAUUUGCUACGAUGAUACUCCCUAAUCAGAUAAUCUUGGAUGAGUUAACUAUCGCCUUCAUUUUCAGACGCAAAAUACCAAUACUGGCUAGACUAACUUGGUCUUGAAUUUUCGUGUAGCCAAGGCCCGUCUUUACCUACAAAGCGUGUGCUUUGAAAAUUGAGAUGGACUGGUCGAUCACCAUCAACUACCAUGCAUGCACCUAGCUGGAUUUGGAUAUAUAUGGGUGAGGGUGCCUGGUGCGGGUUCGCCUGUAAUAGAGAGCUGGUGAGGGUGGAUCUAGUGCGGUAGGUAGAAUUGCAACUAGGGCAUGCAGCCACAAAUGGUUGUUAAUUGCCCAUUUGCAUGCCCUAGUUGCACACGACGACGACGUCCAUGGUUGUUGACUGAUAGCUAGCUACAUAUAAGACCAUUUCGAGAAGCAGCUACACAAAUGAUUGUAAGUGCCUUGAGUGCACAUUUCGUGGAUGGCUAACUGACGACCAUAUUAAUGUGAGCGUGCAUAUAUAUAGUAGCCGUCGAAACACGACUGGAAGGCGGCCAGUCUAGUCAACCGAGCUCUCUACCCGCUUCUUUGGACACGAGGACAUGGCUUUGGAAGAUGCAUGCAUGCCAAUCAGACAACCAACCGAAGGCACACGGCAAAUUGGUCCCUCUGCUUCGUCAGUUAUGACGUGAUGAUCGUAGUUCAAAUCUUAGGCAGGAUGGUUCCCGUGCAUCAUUCGAUUGGACAUGCAUAUAGAUCACGCACUCACCAUAUCACACAUGCCUGUCCCAUGAACGUGACGCUUGGGGCAUGUACAGUAACUGAUAAAGCAUGUUAGCAAAAUCACAUAAGCAACAAGAUCGAUUAGCACAAAAAAAAACAAGAUCGAUUAGCACAAAAUUGCACAUAUAUCCGUACCUUUAGCCAUGUUGACACCGGCCAUAGCCAGUUUUUCUAACCUGUCUUCCUUCUUUACCUUUAGCGCUCGCUUGAUGAUUAGAGAACAAGGGAGACUCGGCAUUUCUGUCAAUUUUCCAUACCCUUAGAUGUAGUAUGCUUUGUCUAUUUACUAUUUAUACAUGCAUAAGCACUAAGCAUUGUUCCAACAUACUUUGCCUAGUUCCAACGGAAAAUGACUCGGCGAAGAUAACUAGAUGUAACAUGUUUUUCUGUUUAUACUUUGCCUAGUUCCAACGGAAAACGACUCAGCGAAGAAAUAAACCCGACAUAAUCUCAAGUUCGUCAAGUUGCAGACCGAAAAAGCUCGGUAAAGUCUGAGAGGUGGGCCCGGCUAUAGAGCAAGCGACGUAACCGUGACAACGGUCUUUCUUUGCCGAGUUUCGGCUCACGAGACUCGCUAAACAUUUGCUCUUUAUAUUUUUUGCUUAUACGUAGGGAAGAUUCAUAGUCACACUCCGUAUCCCGUUGAUGGCUACUUGGCUCUUUUUUUAAUUAUUUCAUCAAGUUCCGUCAGUCCAUAUCCCCUCGGGGUCGCUUUUUUUUAUCGGUCACAGACCGGGCCGCUUAAUCGUUUGAGGCGCCUAGCUGUAGAUGCUCUAAGAGGAUGUGUGAAAACAAAUGAUAAUUGUGAGUGUGAGAGAAGAAAGAGAAGGAAGGAUGAGACAAUCUAGAAGAUAUCAUUCUAAUUUUGUAUAGAUAUAGUAUGUGCGUGUAAAGUUUAUAUAAAAAAGAUAAAGAUAAAGAAAAUGAAAGAAAUUUAAAAAUAAAAACAAAUUAUUAGUUGAAAAUUACACCUUGAAAUCUAAACAUAUGAUGGGGAGCAUUAAAAAUGAGACUCAUAAAACAGAAAAACAAAUUGAUAGCUUUAUUAGUGUAAAAAAACUUAGACUUCAUAAACUUUGUCUUGGGCAAACACACAUGCAUAUGCUUCUAAUUAUUAUAACCUAACUAAUUAAGAUAUAGUUCCAUGCAUAAGCAGCCAUGACGGACAUGAUGUGGCGUGUCAAAAACACGAAGAUUCAAUGGGGUGACCGGCUUGGAGGAUGAAGCUAAUUAAGAGGUAGGGUGUAGAGUUCGAGCAACUGAGAAUGGGGAGGACCAAUUGGAUGAUGCGAAUGACAAAAGCUGAAGAAACAGAGCUGGCGGAGGACGCAGGUGGCAAAUGGCGGCGGCUGGCGGAAACCUAGAGAUGUCGGUGUCUGCCAGGAUUGGAGGUGGUGAUGGGCGACCAUAAGGGAGCAACGGCCGCAGAGCAGCUGCAGGCGAACAGGAACAACGAGCCGGUCGUUUCAGCAGGAAAAAAAGGGCGGCAGCGGGAUUUGGCGAUCUGGACAACAAAACCAAUUUGGUACUCGAUCGGACUUGGAGAAAUAAGAUGAAUACAAUAGGAGAAAGAGGAGAAUCAGACCCAAAAAAAUCGAUCAUAAGACGAUUUGUGUCGUCCGGAGGAAGAUCUAAACCAUAGCACUGAUACCAUGUUAUGAAUAUGCGACUUAGUAUUAUCAGGAGGCUAAACCCAUCAUAUAUACAAGUACAAGUGGGAGAGCAAAGGUCAAAAUACAGAAAGCCAAAAGCCAUCAUAAAUAUAACUCUAACAUUUAUGAUUUUGUGCUUGGCAAAACUUCUAUAAGUUAUUUCUACUACUUCGCCGUAAUUGAAUCAUUUAUGUAACACCUAUUGUUUGUUCAAGUGCAUCAUUUGUCAUUCAUUCAAUGAGCUGGAAAAACCGUGCCAUUUUACUAUGCAACAUUAGUUAAUAGGGCAUGUAUUUGAAAUUUUGGACAAGUCACGUAGAGAAGGUUUGCUGAGGGAGGGGUAGAGAAGGUGAGCAGUUUGUUAGGAAGAAUUAAUAAUGUCUUGAACACAUAAAUAACUAGCAUUAUCAAAAGAUAUUUUUGGCCUCUAAAACAUAUAUAUUUACAAUUGUCGAAAUUGUUACUAUAUGACCCUUUGUAAAGCAAUCAAUGUACACAAUUAUAAUAGCCUAGCGGUCCCUUGCUCCACUGAUGAGUUGGCAUGUGUAUUUGUCAUUUGAACUGCGCCACCAUUUGCCUCGUCAAUUGGCUCUGUAGUAAUUUUAUUUGGGUUUCUUGUGCGCCUCCGAGCCUUUUCAGCCCAGUUGACAAGGCCUUCAGUCACAUUGUCAUCAAAUAUAGUCUUCUUGAAAGAAGUACCCAUCUACACAAAACGAUGAGACAAAAUCAGAAUAAAACGAUCGAUAAGAAAUAUUUUUCUUACCAUGUCAAUAAAGACCUUUACAAUGGUAUCUAUUUGUGAAAGCAAGCUUUGUGUUGCUCAAGAAUGGCUACUUAUAGGUAAAUUUCAAGACAAAAGAAGCAUUAAAUCCCAACAAAACUACAAUUUUAUCAAGUUUAUGAAUUGAACUCACAUGAGAGACGAUAGCAUAUAGUGGUAGGGUGCUGUAACCACAAAGGAGUUGGCAGAUUACGCUGAAAGAAGGAAAAAUGAUGAGUAUGUUCUCAAGAUUUCUCAACAUAGUAUUGCUAUUAUUGUGAUUUCUAUGUACCUUAUGACAAUUCGAGUAAUAACAUAUGCUGGUUUCCCCAUGAUGCAUGAUUUAAAACCGUAUGUCACCUGCAAGGUUGAUAAAUGCCAGAGUUAGUUCUACUUUCGUUCAUUAGAUUCCAAUUUGGAACUAGCAAAUCCUAAACUUAUAAUAUGUUUGAAGGUUAUGACACUCUCUAAUACUUCAAGUAAAUUUGGUCGAGUACAACUAGAUUAUUUAUUGUUCUUACCAAGAGCCAGAAGAAAAAUGCAAUUUCAAAUGCAUUCUGAAACAGGACGACGUGGAUCAACAGAAGGACUAAUUUAGGCCGGUGGAACCAGAAGAAGUCAUCUGAAGGGGCAACUACUAAAUCUCCUCGAAUAGCUGUAUGCUUCUGGGCAACCUCAUAAGCCAAUUCCGUAAUGAUGUGCUCCAUCUUACUUCCUACCACAAGUAGCAUCUGCCAAAAACAAAUACAUAAGUUGAUGUCAUGACCCUGCCCCUUUAUUGGAUCAUCCGUAGUUUGAAAGGUCGUUGUGGAAGUUAUAUGAAGGCAUAUAAUUAUUAUUUAGUCCUUAAAACAAGCAUACAUGCAGCGGAAGUUCCUUUUAUGUAUUUUUCUAUAGAUAGUAAAUCAUGUUUACUUACAAUGAAUGGAACCAAGGUUAUCCAAAUGUAGACAUACCACCCUGCAAUGUCGAUAAACAAGAGUGGAGUUAUUUUUCACAUAAAAAUAUUGUCUAGUGAAUGUAACCAAAUAAAAUUUUAUAAAAAGAUUUUGCGAGAGUUUAACUCAAUAAGAGUUAUGUAAGUACUUAUGGCCUUUAGUGAUACAUACCUUGAACAUUCAAUAGUAGGAAUAUCAUCAGCAUGGCCCAAAGGUACCAACUACAUAAGCAUAACAUGGAGAUCAAUUCGAUAUUUUUCUCUAUUGGUAAUUGAUAUAGACAUUGCAAAUGAUUUAGAAAAAAAGUAGGUCACAUAUUUUGUAACAAUGGCAUUGAACAUUUACCUGAUACCGACAACCUUCUUAAAAUCAAACUCCAAAGCUCUAAUCAUGUAACUAUAAAAGUUGAAUUUUGGUGUCCCCUUACAGUGUUUCUGUGAAAAAGGAAUGUAGCUUAUAUAUAAAUUUCUUCGAUUCCACUAGCAGUAUUUACUAGAAAAUGUAGGUUGGUUACCAUGAUGAAACCAAGUCUCAUUGUUGUGUAGUCCUCAUCAGUGACUGAUCCAUAGAAUUGUUUGAAGAAGGAGCGCUAAAAAGAUGAUGAGUUGUCUUAUACCCCAAUUCCAAAGUAAAUAACAAAUGCAUUUUGUUUCGAUACUUAAGACAUAAGAAAAAAACAUACCAUCCAACCAAAUAUCUUCGAUCGUUUUCUAUGACCUUUAAAGUGGUCUUGAAUAAAUUUGAAUUCUUGAACAUGCUUGAUCAUUUGAGGUGCUGCAAGUUAGGACCCAACAUUCAUAAGCAGAAUAUAACACAACUUUAUAUUGAACAAAACUUGUGAAGUCAUCGUUAGCUAAACUAGGGAAGUGUUUGCAACAUACCACCACCAUCAUUUUCUUGGAUCUUGGCCUCCCAAUGUCGCCAAUUUCUUGUCUGAACAACAAUUAACAUGGUAAUUAGGACAAUCAUGAUACACUAAUUACGCGUUACUAACAAACCUCUAGUUGGACUUUUAGUUAGUACUAUGUACCUGUGCAAUUCCUAGAAGGACUGUAAUAGCACUGAGAACGAAAUGAGUGACUGCCAACACGAAGAUAAAUAUGUGUAACUGAUGAAUAGCUUCAGAUGAAAGUAGUGGAACUUUGCCCUGCAUAUGUCAAAUGGCGUCAAAUGAAUCACUGGAUAAGAAUAUCGUGGAACGGGUCAAAUAGUUAAAGUAGUAACAAUAUACCAGAGUUUUCGAUCGACAAAGACGAGAGAAAAAAAAAAGGAAAAGCAUAGUAUCAUAGACAAAAUCAAGCACCAAUUCAGUUGUACCUUCUUGAGGCAGUAUUCGUCGGAGGAGGCUCCUCCAGCCAGGAGGCGCCUCGCCCCACCCAUCACGCCGGUGAACACGGCGCCGCCGAGGUGGUCCGUCUUGUGCGGCGGCGGCUUGCAGGGCAGCAGGUGGUGCAUGGUGCCCGGGCUGACGCAGAGCUUCCCCAUGGGGCCCUGGAACACGGUGAGCAGCAGCGAGAUGAACCCCAGCAGCAUCAGCUCCUCCUUCACCUUGAGCAGGGCCUCGUACAGCGGCUUCUUGCGGCUCCUCAUCAGCCUCUGCAUGGAAACGCGCGUGCCCAGAAGCUGUUCAGCUGAUGGUCGCUUGGACUCGAUGCAGUGUGUCUCUCUCUCAUGGUGGGGGCACGCAAGCACGUACCUUGCCUAGGCGGUGGAGCAAGCGCUCGAAGAGCAAGGAGAUGAUGACUAUGACGGAGCAGACCGACGCCACGAUCCAUGUCGGCGUGAACUCGAGCGGCUUGGCUUUCCCUCCUCCGCCAGCCAUGGCGUCCCAAACUGGUCAAGAACACCUUGUCGUAAGAAUGGAGUGACAGGCAAGACCUGUUCUUGAUCAAUUUAUAGAUAGAGACUGAUUUACUUACAUGGUCAUAUUUGACUUGGCACGAUCAGAGCAAUCAUAUUCCAAGCUGCACACCAGAAAACAAGAAACAACCUGUUACCUUCCUGAAUACUAGUGCUAUUAUUCCACUGACAUGUCCCAUGUGAUCAAUUACAAUUAUAUUUAUAGAGUGCUCUUCUAUUUCGUUUCUUCAUCACAUUACAAUUUUCGGUCUACCACACUACUAUUAACGAACUGGAAACUCAUUAAAAACUAGUUAGUCUGGGUUGUUUUGUAUGAUGUUUUUUUAGAAAGGAGGCACAAAACGGAAAAAGGGGAUACAUGCCAACAGGCCGGUUUCGUAUGAUGUUCCCAACUGUCUAAUCGGAUUUGAUAAUUUUGAUUGAAUUUAGUCUUUGUUGUUGGUUAAUUUGUUGCCGAAAUUCAGUUUUUGUAGUGUGGCUUUUGGUAACUUUGCUGUCUACAAUGAGUCACUUUCCGUUGCCGCUAAACAAGGAAGAGGUCAUAUAUCCAAAAUUUUCAAAUUUAUAGUCGUAACUCUAGUUUUUCUUUCUUAAAAAUAGUUUUAAAGGAACUCAAGACCUAGCCCAGGUGCUCCCUCUCACUUUCGUCACACAAGCAGGUCGGAGGUCUUGGAAGUUUCAGCACAAAAAAAAUGGUGUGUGUGUGUGUUUUGCGAGGAACACAAAAAAAUGGUGUUGAUUAGCUUCUUCUUUUGUUGACCGGGUAGGGUAGUGGUAUUAUUUUAGCUUCUCCGAAAGUAAAGGCACCAUUGGAGUAUCUAGCUUUUCACAAAAGAAGAAACAUUUCAAUCUGCGACGCGGCGUCUACGAAAUCAAAGUCGCCGCAGGACGCGGCGGUCAAUCGUUGGGGGUGGAAGUCUGAAGCCUUUGGUUUUCAAAUGCACAUGCGUCCAGUCCUGUCCUGUGGGCAAGGUGCAGGUCCUGACCUAGCUAGUGCAGUCUAUUGACUCGGCUGUGAUUUAGACAACAAAGCCCCACGAAGAUAUAUUUUAGAUGUAUGAAGUAUGAACACAUAUGUAAGCGUAUAACAUUGUGGUCAUUAUGUGCACGAAUAUGCUACUAAUUUGUUCAAGAUUACACAAAGUGCAAAAUAAUUUGCAUUAAAUAUCUAUAUUUGCUUCAGGGGAAGUGUUUAAUUUAUUAGGCAGUUUGCUGAGGGAUGGGCCUGAGCGCAAACCACCUGAUCCGAGAAAAACGAAUUGGCCCCGUGGCAUGGUGGUGNNNNNNNNNNNNNNNNNNNNNNNNNNNNNNNNNNNNNNNNNNNNNNNNNNNNNNNNNNNNNNNNNNNNNNNNNNNNNNNNNNNNNNNNNNNNNNNNNNNNNNNNNNNNNNNNNNNNNNNNNNNNNNNNNNNNNNNNNNNNNNNNNNNNNNNNNNNNNNNNNNNNNNNNNNNNNNNNNNNNNNNNNNNNNNNNNNNNNNNNNNNNNNNNNNNNNNNNNNNNNNNNCCCUGCCAACACAAUCGACGAGAUAGAGGUGUGACAUGGGUGCAUCAAUCCAUGCAGUGGACAGGGGUUUAUCCUCGUUUCAAUAAAUAAGUAAAAUACCUAAUUCUUAUAUACCAAAUGGUCUAUUUAUUCAUUGAUGGUUGUCAGCGUUAAUUUAGAUGUGUGCAUUCUUUUGUUUCUGCAGGGGGGCAUUCUACGAUCGUCGGCAAUUAUAGAACGGAUGUAUAAUUAAUUACCAACAAAAUGUGUUAUGACGUGUGGAUGUGGCCUAUGAAAAAAACUCCAAAAAUUCUGAAGCAAGAUUUAGUUCCAUGUUGCUAAGGGAAGAAGGUGGACAUCAAUAUACAAAGUGAACCUCCAGCCAUGCAAUAUAGGAGUAUUUCUGUAGGCACAUGACGUGAUAGAGACUUUGCCUAAGUAGCUGCAAAAACUUGUAAUCUCUUGAUGAGAGCAAUUAAUGUUGUCCAAGUCAGCUUUUGUUUUCUAUCAGCUUAACAGACUUAACCAAUAGUAGGCUGCUAAUGUGUGAACACAAAGACCGGUAAGCAUCCUGGUUCCACACACUGACACACCGAAUCAAGUAGCUACUCCUUCUACACCCUUGGAGGGAAUAAGAUUCAUGGGUAGCGCGUCUAGCUAACCUCUACACGGCAGGCAAUAAAGUCUCUUCACCGUGAUGAACAUGGGUGCAACUAGCACCAAACCGGCAAUGUGACUGUUCCAUGACACCAGUAAACCCUUGGUGAGUUAUAAGAGAGAAGUACUAGUGCAAUGUCCAUAAUGUUUCAUAACAUGAUUCGCCUGCUCUUAGAACUAAUAUUUUUCAUCAUUAGUGUACUAUGGAUGAUACUCCCUAAUCGAUAAAUAUUGCCUCUAUUUUCAACCAUAAAAUAACUAGACUGGCCGGACUAACUUGGUCGUGUAGCUUCAACUAAGGAAGUGGUUUAUCUACCAAACCGUGUGCUUUGAAAAUUUGAGAUGAAUUGGUCAUACCAUGCAUGCACCUAGCUAGAUUUCUAUAUGGGUGAGGGUGUCCUAGAACUAAUUAUAAGGAAGAAGAGUAGUUGGUCGUCGAAUGCAAUGAGAUACCUGGUGAGGGUGCAUCUGGUGCAUGCAGCUACAUAUGAUCAUUAAUCGCCCGUUUGUCCUAGUUGCACAUGAGGUAUAUGAUUGGCUGACAGCAACAAUAAGACCAUUUCGAAAGGCAGCUACACAAAUGAUUGUAAGUGCCUUGAGUGCACAUUUCGCGGAUGGUUAGCUGACGACUAUAUGUUGUGCGUGUGCAUAUUAGCCAUCAAAAGACGACUAGAGGACAGCGAGUCUAAUCAAGUCAACCGAACUCUGUACCCGCUUCUCUGGACAUGAGGAUAUGGCUUCGAGGAAGAUGCCAACCAGCCAGCCGACCGAACGGACAUGAGGACAUGGCAAAUCCAUCCCUCCGCUGGGUCAGUCAUGACGUGAUGAUCAUAGUGCAAAUCUGAGGCAGGAUGGUGAUUAAUUGCGACACUGAGUCACGUACUGAUAUGCCAACUUACGUGUGCAUCCUUCGAGCAGAGGUGCAUAUAGAUCACACUCACACAUCUCACAUGUUUGUCCCAUAAUCAAAACAUGUUUACGGAAAUGUACAGUGAUUGACAAGGCAUGUUAACAAAAUCACGGAAGCAACAAGAUCGAUUAGCACAAAACUGAUUCAACCCAGAGAAAACCCUUUUUUUUGCGAGGGCAGAGAAAACCCUUUACAUGUGCAACAUUACGCAUCCGUACCUUGGGCCAUGUUGACACCCGCCAUAGCGAGUUUUCUCGCCUCUCUUCCUCCUUUACCUUUAGCGAUCUCUUGAUGGCUAGAGAACUCUUCCUUCUUUACCUUUAGCGGUCGUUUGAUGACUUGAGAACACGGGAAACUCUCAUGUGUGUUCUUAUUCCCGUCACUUUUCCAUACCAUAAGGUGUAGCAUGCUUUAUCUAUUUAUAUACACGCAUAAGCAUGCACUAAGCAUUGUCGAAUGAAACUUCAAAGUCUUAAACGGCAGCGCUUACUCAAGGUAAUUAAGCUGCACUAAGUGGGUGCCAUUUAUGCAUGAAACGUACAAUGUGCUUCAUGCCAAUUAAGAUCCAUUCACUAGGACAUGGAUGGUAACUCUUAUUUUUCAUGCGUUGCUCAUGUGGUAACUCCACACAUACAUCUAAUAAAUGCAUUACUUUAAUUAUAACACACAAAUGUCUAUACAAGGGAGAGGAGAGGGAAUUCAAACCCACUAAUUCUUAAUCCAUUAGUAAAGCAACCAUCACACUAAGACCCUUAAUACUCCAUUAGUCUAACCCAUUCUCUCGACGUGGCCGGCCACAAAAUGUAUUGGGUGGUAGUCCUUUAGUUAGCACAUCCGCUAUGUUCAAAUCUAUAUGUUUUGCUCCUUUCGAGUACUUAUCAUUCUUUGAGAAGAAGACUGCAGCGGAAAUAUCACAAUAAAUCCUAAAUGGCCUUUCAAUAUUAUCAAUAAUUUGAAGGCAUGACAUAAAAUUCCACAGCCACAGUGAUUCAAUAGUGGCCUCAAAUGAUGCCAAUCUGUGUAACCAAUCACCUCAAGAUGGCCUGAUCACUUUUAUGUGAGCAUGUGAUCCUUGAUCCAUUGCAAAUACCUGAGAAACUUUUUCGGAGCCUUCCAAUGAUCUAUUCAAGUAUUACUUUGAUACCGACCAAGCAUUCCAAUAGCAAAGCUGAUAGCUGAUAUUAUUCAUGCGGUCUAUGGCUCCCAUCAUACAUGAAACUAUAUAUAGAAAGAGUACUUUUGUUACCUUUAAUAUUAUUCAUGAACUUAGGAGCUCGAAUGUCGAGGCUCACAAGCUUGCGAAGCAUCUUAUCCCUGGGGGUUGGCCGCCAUGUUUGGUUAGGUCGGGUCAGCCCAAUGGACUUGAUUUCAUCCCUCUAAACCUUGUGACGUUUGAAUAAAAAGCUUCUGAGUUUGUCUAAAACAAAAAACAAAAAAAAA